rnacentral:tRNA from 1 species
GGCGCCAUCGUCUAGCGGUUAGGACAUUUGCUUUUCAAGCAAAGAACCGGAGUUCGACUCUCCGUGGCGCUG